GGCACCAAACCUCUAUGAGAAAGUAGUGCCCUGUGUUGUCAGUGAGUCAAAGAUGCCCUGUACAUACCUUCAUGGUACUGUCAUUGAGAGGAAGAGAACAUGAUGAGCUAUUGAAAAACCCUGGAACUUCUUGCAUAUCAAAACUUGGGACAAAUUUAAUUUACAGAGAUGCUUAGAGCUUACUAUAUUAUUGAAUCCAACAGAAUUAUGUUGCUCUUGACUAACAGAAAUAUUUUAUUUAGCAAUAUAUAAAUUCUCAGAAAUUCCUUCCUAACUGAAAACCCUGCCACAAAAGCCAGUAAAAUUUAGUUUAAGGCAAUAUAAACCAUUGUUUAUCCAAUAAAUUAUGAAGUGUUCCAAAUAAGAAAAAGGAGAAUAUCUUUUCUUUUUUAUUUGACACAUGGUGUUGUAUUUAUUUUGGAGCUCCAAUCUCCACUAAAUUCAGGUCCAUCAUACUGCCUCAUAGUAUUAAACUCAUCAGAACAUGCUGAUUUUUCUCCAGCCUGAGCUACAUGAAGGAAAUGAAGCAUGGAAAUGGAGAAAUAAUAGUAAAGCAAUUGAGCCCUGUUGCAGUUCACAUCUCAAGGAGGAGCACAGCUACAAGGACAUAUAAAUUGUUCUUCUGAGCCAUUAGAAUGUCAAAACAUUGGAAUAAAAUAUUUGUAUUUUAGAAAGACUUCAGAGCGAAUUGAGAUUUUCUUUGAUGCAAGAAUUAUUUUUCAAGGUCAUGAGUUCUACAUGCUCCAAAGACUUUCAAGAACCCAACCUUUCUUGUUGCAAACAUAUUGAGUAAAAUACUGAUUUCUUAAAAAUCUUAAACAAUAUAAUGUUAUAAAGAUUAAAAUCCAUCUUUAAGUUCUGAUGCAAAUAUGUCCCUCAAGAAUUAACCAAGCAAUGUAUGAUUUCUAUGUGGUUUAGAUUUGUCAAAGGAAGGAAGGCAAUUGCAAGUCAUCAUAUUGUUUAAGUCUGAGAUGAGCUUCUUAGAGUAUGACUUUCAUGACCAAAAUGAUAUUUCUACCUAUUAUUUUUCCUAGGUUAAUACUAGCCUAAUGUGCAUAUAUAUUCAAGUAACAAUGGAUUUAUUAUUUUCCUUCCUUUCUCUUUUGAAAAUAAUUCAUUGUUGGGUUCCUAAUACAUUUACAGAUAGUAAACACUGUAUAGAGAAUCAUGUUCUAAAAGUGCUUUUUGAAAGGCAGACAGUGAAAUUAGAAUAUUAAUAUGUUGAUUACACAAAGAACUACGUCGGAUUCUGUAAACUUGCAGCCCAACUUUAGAAAUGAAGUAUGUAAAAGUGACCUUCAGCUUCAUAAAAAUAGAUAAUCCAAUAAAUUUGAUUACCUGCAAACAGUUCUUUAAUUUGAAUAAAGUUUUGUAAACAUUGUUUUAUAACUAUAUAGAUAUGCUUCUUGCUGUAUUAAUAUGCAUAUAUAUUUUAAAAAAUUAUAACAGUGAAAUAUACUGUUCAUAACUUUUAAUCACACAUGCAAGUUUUUCAAAUUAAGAAAAAAAAAAACAGUGUAUUUGACCAGUUUAAUAAAAUCAGAAUGUGGUGCAGGAAUUACAUAGAUGUUAAAUCAGCAAGGUGCUGAGAAUACAGUUUGUAAUAAUCCCGUUGUUGUCUGCAAGAAGAUGAAAUAGUUUAGUACAUUUGGAUUAUGUUGUCAAAACUGCUGAUUGUUGCACAUAUCACUAAACGGGGGUGUGGAUGUAUUUUAGAAAAGGAACACAUAUCAUUCACCCUUCUUUUUCUGCUUUUAAAAUGUGUGUUUUUUCUCAUUAAUUUUUUCAAAUGUUUACCAGUGAUAGAUUGGAAAAAGAAAGGUUCACAUUUAAAUAAUAAUUUAAAAUUAUUGCAUAUACCCAAUUGCUAUUUAUGUGCAGAUGAUUAUAUCAAUGAGGUAUUAAAUUUGAUUCAGUGGUUUUUUUUUUAAUUUAAAAAAAUUUCUUAAGAUGGCUGGAAGAAUGUUCCUAAAAUAGGUAGUGUUUACAUGAAGUCGUCUAAGCUUAAUUGUAAGAGUAGUAAAUGUUCUGCCGUUGCUUAUUUUAGUUUUCUUUUUUAUUCUGAAAACUAAUGCUAUAUAUGAUGACUGACAAUACUUGAGAUAUAUGCUUUGUUUUAAAAACAGAGAUUGAAGAGUUGAUUGAUAAAAUUAAUAUUAAAUCUAUUUGGAAAAUUCUCCAAAAAUCAUUUAAAUAAAUAUAUAUUAUCAAGUUGCUUAAAUUCAGUAUUAUACUGAAACCAACUAGAAUGAGCUCACAAGAACUAAUUAUGCAUAUCUCUUCCCAACUCCAGGUACAGUGAUAUCAUUUUGGUAUGUUGAUGUCAGCCUUGGUGGGAUUAUUUCGACCACAACAGUAAUUAGCAAACACUACCCUUUUCUCUGGAGAACAAGUUGUUAAACAUUUACCAGCACUCUACUGCUUAAAUUAUUUUAUAAAAGGACAUGUGAUAAUUGUAAAUAUGUUAUGAAUUUAUAUGAUUUAAAAUAAUGACAUGAAAGGAAUUUAUGCUAUAUUUUACUACUAAAUAUCAAUGCAUAUGGUAGUGAUUUCCUGACGUGAAAUCCUUGGAGCUACUUGUAGACAGGGAGAGGAUUCACUUCUUUAUGGAAAACAAUGGCUAAAUUUUAAGUAGAGAUAAUAGUUCAGGAAGUCAAUAUAUUUAAAUAUUUUCCGCUUGUCCAUAUAGGAGCAUCAAUAGAAACUCAGGGUGUGCCAAAUUAUGCCCAUUUUGAACAGUUUAAUUUAUUGAAAAAUCAGAUGCAUUUUACUUGUUACUGUCUAUGUCAAGGAAAAACACCCAAGCCCUUAAUCUGAAAUGUCACCAUUGCAUUGUUUAAAAUCAGCAUAAAAAUAUAAAAAUCAAAUCUUAAGAAAAUGGAUUUCUGGAGAUCAAACCUAAAUUAUCAAUCUCAAUUCACAAAUUAGUCUCUCAAAGAAAUAUUCCUAGAUCAGUCAACUAAAGGAACAAAAUCAAGAAAAAAUUAGGUAGUAAUUUACAGGCAAUAAGUAGAUUUUUCUACAAGCAAUCACCAGAUCGGGGAUCUGGUAAAUAUCUUGAUUUGCCAGGAAGUUUCGCUUAUGACUACAAUUGAGAUUAGUUGUCUACAAGAUACAUGCAGGAGGUAGUAGUGGUUAAGUGAUGGUAGCUGCCUUUUCACUCUGCGCUCUGAGGAUGUUUUACAUUAUUUUAUCUUGAUGCACAAUUACAUUUACUACAUUGGAUGAUAGACAUAGGCAAUUAUUUUCAUGUCAACGGCAUAGUUACACAAUGUAGGAAUGAUAUUUGUGAUAUGACCCACAUGCCCAAGAAAUGCAAAUGCAAAUAGUGUUAGCAUUUAUAUUGAAAUAUAAAAUCUACAGGAGCUUAAAAUAAACUAAGCUAAACACACUGCAAGAAGCUAAAUGAUUUAGUUUAAACAUGUUAAAGUUUUAAAGCACUAGCUGUAAAUAUUAAUCUUCAGAUUUUCAAUUUAACAUAUAUUCGCUUACAAACUGUUCUAAUAAUAACCCUAAUUAUUUUCCAAGUCACCAUUUAAAGUUUUAUUUACAGUUGACCUAAUCAAAUUAAAGUUGAUGAAAGCUUCAACUUAUUUUUUAACUCUUUCUGGUCAACGAUGCAUGGAGGCAGGUGAAAUAUAUAUGACAACUAAUAGAUAAACCAAUUUAUUUUAUGUUAGUGUAUGUUAAUUUUUAAUUAUGAAUAAUGUAUAUUGUGUGUAUAUAUGAUGGUGUAUGAAAGUUGGCAAUGAAAGCUAAUACAAUCAU
rnacentral:lncRNA from 1 species